CCUGCUCAACGAGAGAACGUCUGCAGCUCUGAGGGAGAAGGAGGAGAGUUGUUCUGCAAGAGACCAGGCGGUGGACGAGCGACGACAGACGGAAGAGGAGCUGAAAGAAACGUGUUUGAAUCUCCGUGCUGCCAAACAAGAGAUCGGGGAUUUAAAUCUGCAGGCGACGAUUCUGACGUCGGAAAUGAGUGUCCUGAGACAAAAACUAACAGGAAAAGAGGAGGAGGCGUGUCAGC